rnacentral:tRNA from 1 species
UUUAAUAUGGCAGAUUAGUGCAAUGAAUUUAAAUUUCAUAUAUAAAGACAAACAUACUUUUAUUAAAA